rnacentral:lncRNA from 1 species
UGGGUCGCUUUUUUUGUACUGUGAAGUCCUGAUUUUCAUUCAGCAAUGCAAAUAAUUCUGGUUUUAGCUUGACCGUGUGAUGUCCAAUCACAGUAUAUAUAUUAGCUUUAAAUCCAUUAAUUUUAGAUAUACGUGUAUGACACAGUGUGGAACUGCACCCGUCACCAGAUAGUAAAGAGAACACUUCUAGGGUCUGUACCACCCAGACUGAUCGUUUUGCACUUCACAUUUCACAGUCAUGGGCCUUUGAAGCCCAUCACUCCAAGCCUUCUGCUUUAUGAACCAAAUUUUGCUGCAUUCAGAAACCCUGAGAGAGCAGGGGAGAGGACAAGUCUUACUGACAGAAGCAGACAGAGCCUCAGUAAAUACAACUCUUCCUAUCAAACCUACAGGAACAGUUCGGCUUUACAGCAGUCACAUUAACAAAGGAAGAGGGAGGCAGAGGAGGGUAUCUUUUCCCAGUCAGUAUCCAAAUUCCCAGAAGGACCAAUGUACAUAAGAGAAAACCAUCAGUCUGUUCACCAAGAUGCAUUACAGUGUUCCAUUUUCCGCUCGUUUUAGGUCAAGUGGAAGCUUCUUUUUUCAGUUUUUCUAAUACUUCAUCUGGUGUCACCGAUACCAAAAUCUUCACCACUUUAUCACGUGAUUUCCCACCCUUCUCUAAAAUAACAUCACUCUUCUUCACUCCUAGCACCUUAGAGAGGUAGCGGCACAGCUCUGCGUUCGCCUCCCCUUCUGAUGGCGGUGCAGCAAUAGCCACACCUACUGCCUCGGCUGUCACAUCUGUCACGGCGCUGCAGCGGGAGCCGGGCUUGGCGCGCACCGACACCCUCACGCCGCCGUCGCCCGCUGCCACCACCGGCCCCGCGGCGGCGCCGGGCUCGGCGGACUCCUUCCCGGCCGCUUUGCCCUUCCGGGGCAUGUCCCCGCCGCGGCCCCGUAGCGGCGCCAACAGCCGCUGACGGCAUCCGGCGAGGGUCAGCAUGGCCCGGCGCCGCCCUUCCGGGAGCAGCGCUAACCCCGCCCCUCGGCUGCGCAUGCGCGUCACGGUGCUCGGCGCUGCGGAGCCGGAACGGAAUGGCUGCGUUGGAGGCGUGCUUUGGGACUUCAACCCGGUAUGUACCACAUACAUCCGUGGCCUGCAGCAAAUGACUGUAGAGCAAGUUGCACGCAAAUAGGCCAGAGUUGAUAAUAAUUCUUUAGUAUUAGAUUACCCAGUCAAAAUAAGAUCAUUACAAGGCUUGUAUUCCCAUUUUCACAUUGUACAUUUUCUUAUAGGCACAUACGUAUAUACAAUGGCUAUUUCCAUAACCAGCUCUAUAUUCCAAAACAGCCCUUCUUAAUUAAAAGAGAUUCUGCAAAGAUCCAUUCAUUGGAGGAUUUGCUAUAGCAUUUCUUCACUGCAGCUGCAGAUACUGCGUGGAGUGCUAAGUCCGACAACUCACCAUUGACAGCAAUAUGAAUCCAGCUUUGCUCAUGUACUUGGAAAAAAAAAUAAGUAGUAAUUCAUGUCCACAGGGUCAUUCCAAGGUUGUUGUACAGAGAAGUGCAAGCUGGGAGUGCAGCAGCAGAGGUACUGUCUUUGUAAGACAAGUUGAGGAACAUGUGCAGAUGAAAUUCAUAACCAGUAUGUAUUUUCCAGUUCAAGAAAUGAAUUCAACUAUAUGAGAAACGAAGGGUUCAAAAUACAAAGCCAUUAAAUCACAACAUACCACUCAAAACAACCUUCAGUAUACAGAGUACUUACUCCACACUUUGUUAAAAGGAAAAGUUAAAUUAGGUUCCACCAACCACGACGCAGAUAAAAUUGCUUUCCUGGCACCUCUCAAACAAGUCAGUUCUGUUUUUACACAUUCGGGUCAUUUCAUAGCAUUGCCAACUCACUAUGGGUGACAGUGAAAGUCCACUGAUAGGCUGACACGGAGGUGAUCAUGUGAAAUUAUGUAUAAAAUAUUAUUUCUGGUAUCUGUCCAUCUUCUAUCGAUGUACCAUUAUUGUUACCCGGCGAACUAUAAAAGACAAAGCAUGUUUUGCUAGCAGUAGGAGAUUCGUGGAUUACUUUCUUCAAUCCUUUUGUUCCAUAGUGGGAAUCAGGACCUUUUAAUGUUGCACAGGCUGUGUAGCAAACUGUGGGCAAAAUCUCUAUAGGCUCUUUGAACAUAACUCUGAACGUACUGGCAGUUCCAUCACAGCUAAAUCCAGUGUCGUUUUGUCCCAGAGUUUGAUUCUUCUCAUAAUCAAUUAUCUGUAUAUUAACUUGAUAGUCUGUGGGUCCAUGAAUAGAUCCAUAUAAUCCAAAUCCCACUAUGGAAAUUCUUCUAUUAACUGUGAACCUAAUGCGAUCACUUGUUCCACUGUAGCCCCAGCGACUCUCCACUUGUUGGAACCUGUUAAUGCUGCAUUCUUUUCCUCUGAGGCAACAUCUUGGUCGGUCUAUAUAAUCUACUUUUGGCUUAGGAUUGACAGUAAAAUGUAGAAAAAGAUUUACCACUUCCCGAUCAGACAAGAUUCCUGACUGAGCAGGGCCUGCUGCAAACUCUUCAAUAGUCAUUAAUGGAAAACGGAUUAAGGAAAGAGCUCUUCCAAGGACCUUCUGUUUGUUUCCAAAUGUCACAGGCAGUUGUUGUCUUUGACAUUCAGCCUCUGCCCAACGAACAACAGCUCCAAAGAGUCUGCUUUCUCGAAUACUAAGGGUAUCUCUUUCUAGAACUGC